rnacentral:rRNA from 1 species
AUUGAACGCUGGCGGCAGGCUUAACACAUGCAAGUCGAGCGGGGAAAGGUAGCUUGCUACCUGACCUAGCGGCGGACGGGUGAGUAAUGCUUAGGAAUCUGCCUAUUAGUGGGGGACAACAUCUCGAAAGGGAUGCUAAUACCGCAUACGUCCUACGGGAGAAAGCAGGGGACCUUCGGGCCUUGCGCUAAUAGAUGAGCCCAAGUCGGAUUAGCUAGUUGGUGGGGUAAAGGCCUACCAAGGCGACGAUCUGUAGCGGGUCUGAGAGGAUGAUCCGCCACACUGGGACUGAGACACGGCCCAGACUCCUACGGGAGGCAGCAGUGGGGAAUAUUGGACAAUGGGGGGAACCCUGAUCCAGCCAUGCCGCGUGUGUGAAGAAGGCCUUUUGGUUGUAAAGCACGUUAAGCGAGGAGGAGGCUACCGAGAUUAAUACUCUUGGAUAGUGGACGUUACUCGCAGAAUAAGCACCGGCUAACUCUGUG